rnacentral:rRNA from 1 species
GACGAACGCUGGCGGCGUGCUUAACACAUGCAAGUCGAACGGAAAGGCCCUGCUUUUGUGGUAUUCUCGAGUGGCGAACGGGUGAAUAACACGUGAGAACCCUGCCCUACACUUUGGUAAAACUUCAGGAAACGGGGUCUAAUACCGUAGAGGCUCUCCUGCUGCGUGGGGGGGGGGGGAGAUUUGCGGGGUGGGGGUGGGGACGCGCGGCUUAUCAGCUUGUUGGUGGGGGAGGGGCUUACCAAGGCUUUGACGGGUAGCCGGUGUGAGGGUGUGACGGGCCAUAGGGGGACUGAGAUACGGCCCAGACUCACAGGGGAGGGAGGAGUGGGGAAUAUUGCAAAAGGUGCGGAAGUGUGACGGAGAAACGCCGUGUGGGGGAUGAGGGCCUUCGGGGUGUACACCGUUUGCGCCUGUGAAGACGCGUGGGUGACGGUAAUGGGUAAAGAAGCACCGGUUAAUUACGU